rnacentral:rRNA from 1 species
GGAUUGGCGUGUUGGUCGUGCCCUAAGGGGUAUGAACUGGCAUUGUUGAUUCUCACCUCCUGGAGAACCAUAAUUCCCUUAAUUGGGUGUUAUGCGGAACCAGGACCUUUACCUUGAAAAAAUUAGAGUGUUUAAAGCAGGCAUUUUUGCUCGAAUACAUUAGCAUGGAAUAAUAAAAUAGGACGGCUUGGUUCUAUUUUGUUGGUUUCUAGGAUCACCGUA